AUUGAACGCUGGCGGCAUGCUUUACACAUGCAAGUCGAACGGCAGCACAGGGAGCUUGCUCCCGGGUGGCGAGUGGCGAACGGGUGAGUAAUACAUCGGAACGUGUCCUUUUGUGGGGGAUAACUACUCGAAAGAGUAGCUAAUACCGCAUAAUACCUGAGGGUGAAAGCGGGGGAUCUUAGGACCUCGCGCAGUUGGAGCGGCCGAUGACUGAUUAGCUAGUUGGUGAGGUAAUGGCUCACCAAGGCGACGAUCAGUAGCCGGUCUGAGAGGAUGAACGGCCACAUUGGGACUGAGAUAUGGCCCAG
rnacentral:rRNA from 1 species